rnacentral:rRNA from 1 species
ACGAACCGUCCAAACGUUAUUCGGAAUCACUGGGCUUAAAGGGUGCGUAGGCGGCCCGGAAAGUUGGGUGUGAAAUCCCUCGGCUCAACCGAGGAACUGCAUUCAAAACUACCGGGCUUGAGGGAGAUAGAGGUGAGCGGAACUCAGGGUGGAGCGGUGGAAUGCGUUGAUAUCCUGGGGAACACCAGUUGCGAAGGCGGCUCACUGGGUCUCUUCUGACGCUGAGGCACGAAAGCUAGGGGAGCGAAGAG